rnacentral:lncRNA from 1 species
CGAUUUGUUCAACCAGCUUCUUCCCACCAUGCCCUGGAAUACUCUCAUGGUAAACCAUAAUAAUCCCCUGCAACUUCUCUUAGUUUGUGUUUUCCAUUUGAAUAAAAAGUAUUCAAACUCUUUUGCUUACCAACUCUUGAACCUUGUCAAAGUGACAAGCACCUAAUCCAUUGAGGACAAGAGAACAGACAGUAAAAUAUAAAAUAAAAAUCCAACUCCAUGUUUACAUCUUGAGGCAUUUACUUAUUUGGUGGUAAACAAUUGUUGUGGUUUUCGAUUUCGAUAAAACCAUUAUCGACCGUGACAGCGAUAACUGGGUUGUCGAUGAAUUGGGCUUUACCGAUUUGUUCAACCAGCUUCUUCCCACCAUGCCCUGGAAUACUCUCAUGGUAAACCAUAAUAAUCCCCUGCAACUUCUCUUAGUUUGUGUUUUCCAUUUGAAUAAAAAGUAUUCAAACUCUUUUGCUUACCAACUCUUGAACCUUGUCAAAGUGACAAGCACCUAAUCCAUUGAGGACAAGAGAACAGACAGUAAAAUAUAAAAUAAAAAUCCAACUCCAUGUUUACAUCUUGAGGCAUUUACUUAUUUGGUGGUAAACAAUUACAGGACACGAUGAUGAAGGAGAUGCAUGCACAAGGAACAACCAUUG